AAAGAAGAAUCUCAACAUACAGUCCUCAGCAGCUUUAGCAUGGGCAACAAAUUAAGUCUCUGUAAAAGGCCCAAAGGACAGGGUUUGGUGAGAUUCUGGAGAGCUGGAAACAUGGAGGUUGACAGGAAUGUAAAGAAGAACUCAUUUACAUGCCAGGAGGGUGGAACACCCCAAUUCCAUGAGGAUAACUGCUCCUGUACUCCAGACCUCACCCCAUGUGUCUCUUCAUCUGGCUGGUUAUUUGUCCUUUAAGAUCUCCUUACUCAACCAGUAAAUGUACUCUUAUAAGGAAUAGAGGAGAAGAGAAAAGAAGAGAAGACAAGAGAAGAGAAAGAGAAGAUUGCAAGAAGGGAAGACAAGAGAAGAGAAAGAGAAAGAGAAGAAGACAAGAGAAGAGAAAGAGAAAGAGAAGAUGCGAAAUAGACGCAUGCAUUUAUUGAAUUUUAAUUUAUGACAGAAGUAGCAUAGUCAAUAACUGAGGAGUGGAAGGACAAUAUAAUCAGAUAAAUUGAAAAAUGCUUAUUGACAUGGAAAUAUCAAAGGAAAAAUAUACCAUGUGCCCACUGAUAAAAAAUAAAUGGAAUAUUCAUGAAAGGUCCCAAUUACUGUUACAAUAAUUUUUUAAAUAAUUAGGCAUUUGGAUUUUAUGUGCUUUUUGAUUUGAGUAGUUUAAAGUGUUUUAAAUAACAUUAAAUAUUAUUAUAAUUAUAAUAAUUAUUAUUUUUGAGACCGAGUCAUCUUGCUCUAUUGCCCAGGCUCUAGUUCAGUGGUGCGAUCUCAACUCACUGCAACCUCCGCCUCCUAGGUUCAAGUGAAUCUCAUGCCUCAGCCUCCUGAGUAACUGGGACUACAGGCAUGUUCCACUACACCUGGAUAAUUUUUGUGUUUUUGUAGUAGAGACUGGGUUUCUCCAUGUUGGCCAGGCUGGUCUUGAACUCCUGACCUCAAGUGAUAUGCUUGCAUUGACCUCCCAAAGUGCUGAGAUUCCAGGUGUGAGCCACUGCACCCGGUCCAUUAAAUAUUAUUUUAAUUAUAUUAGGUCAAAUAUUUUUGUUUCUUUCCUGAAUUUUAACACUAUUUAGAAUGAGUACAUAGUUGUUAGCUAAUAAAAUCUGUAGUUCAAAAAUUAUUUUGUGACUUACUGAGCAUUUCACUUGAUCAAUUUUUAUAAAUGUUUCAUGAUCUCUUAAAAAGAAAUGUAAGUAGCAUGUUAUAGUAGUAUCUUCCGUCAUCAUAAUAGUAUGUUCUAUAUGUAUCAUGUGUCAUACUUCUGUCAUUUUUGUUUUAUUAGUGCUUUGCUUAUUUCACAGAUUCUGCUUUUGUUUAUUUGUUUCUUAAUAAACUUUCUAAAUCUGCUA
rnacentral:lncRNA from 1 species